CUCAUGUUCCUUUUUCCUGAUGUUGCCAUCACUUGGUAUUGGUAUAUAUCAAGAAUAUAUAUGUAUAUAUAUAUAUAUAAUCAUUAUAAUUUAUGGCUCAGGCUAUGCAGGCUACUGGCAUCAUUAGGAUUUAGAAGCAAGUGCCACCUCAGUGCAAUCGCUUUCAAUGAAAAGGAAAUAAAAUGGUUUAAUUGAUCAAGAGGAAACAUGUCAUUAGAAAAGAGAAGAGGACACAGGACCUUUAGUGUGGUAUCAACAAGCUGCUGUAACAUCAAGCAGGACUAGGUUCAUAAAUCCAUCAACAUCUGCAUAAAUAUAUAACAAUAAUGACAUGAUGUGCUUUGAGAUCUGAUGUUUUUUGUCAUCCCAGAAACUUGUUUUUUAAAAACUGUGAGAGGAUCGCAGUGGCUGGAUCCUGGACUAAGCUCUCAUUGUGUGAUUUACUAUACAUUAUACAGCUUAUUAUACUUUAUAGCUUAUCAGACUGUCACUGACUUAUCCCACCUUCCGCUAGCAAAACUCAAUGUCUGCAUGGCCAAGAAGAGGUAGAAAAAAUUGAUUUUCCUGUCUAAAAUCCAACAUUUCUUUCUCCAAUAUCCAUUUACCUUUUGUCAAGUUCUGAGUGAGCUACAUCAAAGAAAUGUGCAUAAGUGUUUUGGCUUCUGCACUCCCAAUAUAUUAUCCACCUGAAAUAUCAUCGGAACAUCUGCAGCUGAGAUAUAGAGGCUCAUAGUGGAGUUACUGCGCAUUUUAAUUUUUCAUUACAGCAUUUUCAUCACACACAUGGACCUUGCUGCAUAUUCUGAAAAGGUCAAUUGUUGACAACAAAGUGAAAAAGUUUCGCAACAGUAACUGCACUGUGUUUUCAAAUCUUAUUGCCACAACAAUACACAGAUGCUGUCAUUGUGCUUGAGAGCAGAAAGCAAAUGUCGUUUUGGAAGUAGGCUGUGUUUUUGACCGCAGUUUGGAGGAUGCAUGCUGGAAUGCCUAAGAAAAGGCAGAAUUACUUGCAAAGUAGUGCUAUAUGUUUAUAGUUAUUGACUGUUGCUGUUUUUGGCAAACGUGCUGCUACAUGUGUCUAAAUUAGUUAAUAACAAAAUAUUAGUUUGUAUUCUGAACAGAGUUUGUAUCAUCAAUUAUUGGUGUCCUGCUGACUUUUUAAAACGUGUGUGUGUGUGUGUGUGUGUGUGUGUGUGUGUGUUAGUGUUACAGUGUUGGAGCUCACAGAAAUUAAAAACAUUCAUCAGAUCAUGACAGUGGUGCUGGGAAGCAUUGUAUUGUGGCACCCGGAACAUGAUCAGGGUAACCAUGACAACAGCAAUCAAACACACAGAUUAUGUUCCACAGCAAGAUUCCUCUCAUUUCCUGGUGCGUUGUGAUUCACUUACAAACUAUGUGAAGGGUGUACCGAGACAGAGAUCAUCAAAGGUGGUAAAAUACAUUUACCUUCAUUUUCUUUCACUUUGAUUGUCUGUGGUUAUCAUCUGUGUGCUGAUGCAAACUUUUCCUCUGUUUCACUUGUCACUAUCCAUUUUUUGUUUCCUUCUGUGAUGUUGCGGACACAUAUCAGACAUUGGAAGAAGUGCAUAAAGCGCUACAAAUGAUAGUUAUUGUUUGUUAUGGCCACAGUGGAGUUCUGGUUGGGUGAGGUUUGCCAUGUGCUGACAGGAAUGUAGUCAAGUAUUUCUUGGUUGUCUAAUACAUCAUAAAUGUUGUAUUGUACAUACAGUUCUUUCUAGAGACACCUUGUAUGACACCUACUGUACUUAGGAUAGACCAAACAUUGGAAUGUAUUUGAAAAUUAUUAACGACAUAAUUAAUGACAGAUGACAUGUCCCUCUUAAGAGGUUGAAAAACCUGAAUAAUGAAUUAAAGUGGCCCUUGAUAUUUCCACCGUGGUAUUCUAAUGAUAAUGAACUUUAUUUUUAUGGCAUUUUUCUUAAAAAAUGUCAACAAAAUGUUUUACAGACAAUGACAGAAAUCAAGCCACAGACCAAGCAAAAAGGAAAAAACACGCAGGUUGCAUUUUGGCUGAAGGUCAUGUGUUACUUUGAGCAGAGUGAUCGCUGUGCAGGAGAAUGCUCAAAAUACAAUUACAUAAAUAGUGCGGCAGAGUUUAGUUAAUUUUUGGGAAUAUAGGUGGUUUUGAAAAAGACCUGUAGUUUUUGAGGACAAUAGGAUCUGGUUUGGAUUUUUCUAAAAGCCAGAUGAAAAGACAUCAGUGGUGAGGGAGCUGUUGAUGACAGCUGCUGAUAUAAAACAGGUCUUUCAAAAUGUUGGGAGGGCAUUUUCUGUGGAAAUGGUGGAGGGUUUCAGUGACACAAAUAUCAUCUUUUAAAAGAGUUAGAAGUCAGACACCUAUUAAUCACAUAUUGUCGUAACAUAUUUGUGGUUUGUUGGCCAUCUGUUUGUGUUGAUUUUUCUGUUUUGGAUUAUUAAAUGACUGCACCAGUGUUUUGGCUUGUUUCAGCUCAUCUACAAAGCAUGCAUGCUGCAGUCACUGGUUUCACUUAAUUUCAUUAUAAUAUGAAACUUGCGUGAGAGAGCCAAUCCAUCACAAGUACCAUAUAGUGACAUAUGUUUGUUUUUUUGGUCAAAGUUGUUUUUCUCUGUGAGGUAAUGGACUGGAAAGCAUGGAUUGUUUUAUUCUGGGAAGAGGCAUCUGUGACUUCAGAGUCACCUAACAGCAGCCCUUAUAAAGAAUAGUAGGUGCAGCACAGGGUGGAGUAAGUAAAAAUUCAGGUCCAUCUUCAGGUAUCAUUUUGGAAUUUAUUUUCAAAGUUGUGGACCAUUCCCAGUGUGUUAAGAUUAAGAUAACCUUUAAUUAAUUAUUGUCCCAAAUUGUCUGUACCUGGAGAAAUUAUCAUAAAAAGAAAACAACAUGAUUGUAACUAUCUCAUUGCAUUUAUUAUUUUCUUUAAUAAAUAUCAGUUGCAAGUUUUUGCGUGUACAUUUAGUCAUUUGCUCAACUUUGCUUUUACAAUGAAUAUUAUAUUGUGUUGUGCACACACCCAUGCACUGUAUGCAGCUUUUCACAGUGACCGGUAGACAUGAGGGUGUGACUUCGAAACACAUUCCGGAAAACACUGUUGCUUAAUAUUUUUGAGUGAAAACCACAUUACUGUGACAGUUUCCUGUAAUGUGAGUUGCAACACAUUUUAUGAAUGGAAGGUUUUGACAAACUUUUGGGGUGUGAAUUUAAAAAAAGAGAAUUAACAAACAGGAAUUUGCUUUAACUUGUGCAGUAUCACACUCCUGCUGUCGGAGAAAACUGUCAUUGGCUGGAAGUUUCAUAUUGCAUGUUUUCUGUACCAUACUGUACACAAAAUAUUUUUAGGGACGUUUUUCGAUAAUAGUACUCUGACUAAAUUAAGUGAAAGUUGUCUCUAUUGCUUCUGUGUUUUAGCUUAGCACAGUUCUUCCAUCCAAAUGUUGAACAGUGUGGAAGAACAACAAAACACCUCACCAUGUGUGCAGAUUAUCACAGAGUAUAUAUUAAAUUUACAUUGUAUAUGUGCACCGUACUUGUGUAAAUCCUGUGUUUGCUGUGAUCUGCUUCUUCCAUGUACUCCUGGCCUGCACAGAGCACUGACCCCAACCCCAUCCAACACCUUUGGUAUGAAUUGGAUCACUGACUGCAAGCCAGGCCUCAUCGCCCCAAAUCAGUGCACAACCUCACUGAUGCUCUUAUGGCUGAAUGGUUCCAGGUUGCGUUCGACCGACCGUGAGGUUGUUUUGCGGUAAGCUCAAAGAGGCUUAUUUCACUUAAUCAAGACCGGUGGUGAAUCUAGACUGUGUACACAAGGUGAAAAUUUUUUAGUUUUGGCUUAUUAAGUCUCAAAUUGCUGCCACUGAAGUAUUCUUUACCUGUCUUUAUACCUGUCUUAUUCUAUUUUAACUUGUUUUUAUUUUCUAUUUUCUUGGCUCUUGGCUCUUUACUGGCUGUUUUUCGUUGUAUUUAAAUGUGUUGUGUUUGUGGUGUGUUUCUUUUGCACGUUGUCGCAAUGCUUUUGAUGCUUUGAAUUGCCUUGAAAUGUGAUAUAUAAAUUACCUUGCCUUGCCUCCCUAAUAAGCCGGCUCAGACACACCCCUGUGCUUACCUGCUCUCUCUCUGCUCCUCAGUCUAACGAUGCUGCUUUCUGCUGCUGUUGCUCCUGCAACACAGCGCAUCCUUGUGUGGGCUCUGUUCUUCCAAUCCCUGAGGGGGGAUUGGCAGUGAUCUCUCUCUCUGCUGCACAAUAUGUUUUCAUAGGGAAUAAUAGUACACAUAUCCUGGAUGCCAAAAACAAAUUGCAUUUACCUUUUCUCUUUAAACUCUAUAUUUUUAAUUUAUGAGAUGAGUCUGAACUAAGGUGGUGCCAAACACAAAUCACUCAGCACAGACCAUCUUAGUUCUUGCAUCUCUUUCAAGGUAAUCAAGUCAGAAGAGACAAUGUCUUGUUUCAGCUGCAUAAAACAAUUUCUCUGUACAUCACAGUCCAUCAUUUCUAAAACCAGACUUUGUUUUCCUCACCAGAUGAUGCUGUAAUAUCUUUUGCCACAUUUUUGUGUAAAUAAAAGUAAAAUUAGUAA